rnacentral:lncRNA from 1 species
AAAUGAAGCAAUUUUACACUUUGUUAGAAACAUAAUCCUGCACAAUUUAUAGAUCCCACAGCCACAACGCUUUAAUUAACUUUUAUCUUUAAAAGGUUUCAUUUUAUUAAGCAAAGGAAUUUAGACCUAAAUCACUGUCAUACAUUGUCCAUUUGCCUUGUUAACAGGAGUCACCAUGAAGCUGCUGGUGUUGAUGAUGUGUCUGCUGGUCUCUGCCUUGGCUGCACCAGCUCCACAGAGUGAAAGCAACGAGCAGGUUGCAGCUCAUGCAGCUCAUGCUAACGAGGCCCUGAGGUGGAUGGAGAUGUACAGGCUCUACCAGCAGCAGGUAUUGAAGGGUACACUUCAAAAUAAGAUGCAUCUGCUUGUCAUUUAGUUUGGUAUUAAAUUAAAUAUCUGGCUGAUUUUUUUCAGAAACUAGUUAGCAACCCCUUCCUUCCUGCGUCUCAUGCACCU